UUCUCUUUCUGUCUCCCUCUCCCCAACCCUUCCCCUCCUUUCAAUGACUCCCGUGGCAUAUUCCACCAACUUUAUUCUUGGAAGCCUAUUCUACAGCCCCUGAGCUUCUGCCAGAGUCUCCAGAGACUUUCCAGCUUAGUCAAACUGGAGUGAAGACUGCUUUUCUAGUGGAAAAACAGGUACUAGAAUUAU
rnacentral:lncRNA from 1 species